UACAGAGGGUACAAGCGUUAAUCGGAAUUACUGGGCGUAAAGCGUGCGUAGUCGGUUAUCUAAGUCGGAUGUGAAAUCCCCGGGCUCAACCUGGGAAUUGCAUUCGAAACUGAAUAGCUAGAGUUCGGCAGAGGGAAGUGGAAUUUCCGGUGUAGCGGUGAAAUGCGUAGAUAUCGGAAGGAACAUCAGUGGCGAAAGCGACUUCCUGGACCAGAACUGACGAUCAGGCACGAAAGCGUGGGGAGCAAACAGG
rnacentral:rRNA from 1 species